rnacentral:sRNA from 1 species
UAGCAUGUGUCGGAAAUGUUGUAUUCAC